GGAGGCAGAAAUAACUCCUCUGGGAACAACUUAAGCUACAAAUAUGUGUCCUGCUUCUUGUAUUUGUUCCAGUUUACCUGUGGGUGUUUUUGAAAACCACUAGAGAUACCAUGGAGCUACUGGAAGCAAUCUGGAGCCCAUCAAAAGCUGUGGUGCUACUGAAUUCACUGGAGAGCUGACCAGAAUCCUCACUCUGCCUUCCAGCCCUUUUCCUACUAUGAUUUGAAGAAGACAGUACAGAUAUCUUCAAAUGAUCUAAUGAAGGUGGUUUCAGAAGAUAAGGGUCAUAUUUUCUGUUUAGCCAUGUGAAUGUCAAUGUCAAUGAAUGUGCAGGGAUAGACCUGCAGAAAGUGUUUGUUUCUGUUUUAAUACAUUAGUUUGUUUAUAAUAGGUCUUUUUAUCUUGAAUGGAGUUGUCAAAAAAUUAAAUAAAAUAUUUAGGACAUCAUUAAAAAUAUUUUUCAUAGGAAAUAUGAGAGUAAAACCAAAUUGACACUCAAGGUUAAAAUAGAUUUCAGAUGAGUGCUUGUAAAUUUUAUAAAGCAAUAUCUAGAAUUAUACAUGACCUACAACCUACCCUAUAUUUAAUCAAACUAUUCAGCUGUUCCCAUGCUUAAUUUAAAAGUCAUUUUAUAGGGCAUCAGCACCUUGUUAGCCACAUUUUAAUUGACAAACCUAAACACCCUAGAAUUGCUGUGGAAAUCAGAACAUGAAGUAUAAUUCAUACUGCAGAUUUAAAUCUAUGUUUAUUUAAUCCCUUUGUUGAACUGAAUGAAAAUUUUAAUUGAAACAGACAAACCAACAAUCUGUGGCAACAAUUGUAGGUUCUAAGCUGCUUAAUGACAAUAGAAGUAGGUUAAAGAUUGCAGAUAGUAGGUUUAUGCCAGUUAGAUCUAGUUUGGGACAAGAUAUAGCUUAAAUAGGGAAUAGAAAUAGCCUUAUGUAUAUCACUUACAGUAGAACCUAUUGGGAACAUUUUAAGGGGCUUUAUUUAGUAAGCUUUUUUGAUAUUAAGCUGAGUAAUAAAGAGCUGGGUUCACCUCAGAAUCUUUGCUCUUCGGCCCUGAGCUAUGGUUCCUGCUGAACAGCCUAUUUGCAAAUAAGAUAAGAUAUUAAGCAUGCUUUUAAAUCUUAAUUUAAAACCUAGGUGAAAAGUCCUUUUCCCUAGCAAGCUCUCUUCCUGUUAGAGAGCUUUUAAUACUUCAGGAUUUAAAUAAGUUACUUUAAAAUUCUCUCAAGUGUUAACACGAUUGUUAUGUCUUUUGAUGUAUGCACAUUUAAUAUGUUUUAUUUUUGUUUGAUGUACCUACCUGUGCUGUUUGGUCAUGUAUCUUAUCAGUAUUUCAUUAUUAAAUUUGCUAUUAAACUGUA